CCGAAGUAACAAGCUUCAAAAGCAUUCAAUUGGUUUUCUUCCCGGUCGUUUUACCAGAUCACUACUAUUUGCUGUGUGUCAACUUUGUGGAAGGAACAUUUGAUUUGAUUGA